rnacentral:rRNA from 1 species
UACGUAGGGCGCAAGCGUUGUCCGGAAUUAUUGGGCGUAAAGAGCUCGUAGGCGGUCUGUUACGUCUGCUGUGAAAACCCAGGGCUUAACCCUGGGCUUGCAGUGGAUACGGGCAGACUAGAGGCAGGUAGGGGAGAAUGGAAUUCCCGGUGUAGCGGUGAAAUGCGCAGAUAUCGGGAGGAACACCGGUGGCGAAGGCGGUUCUCUGGGCCUG